rnacentral:rRNA from 1 species
GCACAGAGUUAGCCGUUCUCUUCCUCUUGCGGUACCAUCAAGCACCAAGGUUAUUAACCAAGCUACCUUGUUCUCGCAUGACAGGAGUUUACAAUCCGAAGACCUUAUCCUCCACGCGGCGUCCACGGUGCCGAGUUGGCCUGAAGGAAAAACACGCGC